rnacentral:lncRNA from 1 species
CAUACUCUAAUAAAUAACUCUUUUGUUAUUUGGGGUGUUAAUUCUAUGAUCGUAUUUCUUCCACUAUUUUACUUGUAUUUCAGUUAGUUUCCAGUUGCAUUAUACUGUGUAUCACGUAAUAAAAGUUGGUGUACUUACAUAGAUUUCAAAUGACGUAUGUUGCGUCAUAUAGCAAUUCUAUUGUGAAUGAAACACUACUAAUCUCAUGUGAUACAGUUUAUAUGAACAUGCAGCAAAGAAUAUUCUAGUCCC